UGGCGAACGGGUGAGUAACACGUGGGUGACCUGCCCUGCACUUCGGGAUAAGCCUGGGAAACUGGGUCUAAUACCGGAUAGGACCGCACCGUGAGGGUGUGGUGGAAAGUUUUUUCGGUGUGGGAUGGGCCCGCGGCCUAUCAGCUUGUUGGUGGGGUAAUGGCCUACCAAGGCGGCGACGGGUAGCCGGCCUGAGAGGGUGGACGGCCACAUUGGGACUGAGACACGGCCCAGACUCCUACGGGAGGCAGCAGUGGGGAAUAUUGCACAAUGGGCGGAAGCCUGAUGCAGCGACGCCGCGUGGGGGAUGACGGCCUUCGGGUUGUAAACUCCUUUCACCAUCGACGAAGGGUUUCUGACGGUAGAUGGAGAAGAAGCACCGGCUAACUACGUGCCAGCAGCCGCGGUAAUACGUAGGGUGCGAGCGUUGUCCGGAAUUACUGGGCGUAAAGAGCUCGUAGGUGGUUUGUCGCGUCGUCUGUGAAAUUCCGGGGCUUAACUCCGGGCGUGCAGGCGAUACGGGCAUAACUUGAGUACUGUAGGGGAGACUGGAAUUCCUGGUGUAGCGGUGAAAUGCGCAGAUAUCAGGAGGAACACCGGUGGCGAAGGCGGGUCUCUGGGCAGUAACUGACGCUGAGGAGCGAAAGCAUGGGGAGCGUACCAGGAUUAGAUACCUGGUAGUCCAUGCCGUAAACGGUGGGCGCUAGGUGUGGGUUUCCUUCCACGGGAUCCGUGCCGUAGCUUAACGCAUUAAGCGCCCCGCCUGGGGAG
rnacentral:rRNA from 1 species